rnacentral:rRNA from 1 species
ACCAUGAGAGUUGGAAAUACCCGAAGCCUGUGAGCUAACUGUAAAGAGGCAGCAGUCGAAGGUAGAGCCAAUGAUUGGGGUGAAGUCGUAACAAGGUACC